AUAGAUUUUCAUAACUUCAUAUAUAUAUUUAUAUAGAUCAAGAUCAAGGAUGUUGACCUUGAUUUAAAAAGUUUAAACUAUGUUCUAUUAAAUUUGAAUAAAUUUAAUUUAUUUUCUACGUUGUAAAAUUAUAAACUCAUCAUAAUAGUUGUUGGAAAAAAUAUAAAAUUUUAAUUCUAAAUAGUCCAAAUACUCUAAAUUAAGUUUAACAGAAUUAAUUCUUAAUUUAAAUACUUCAUGAUUGAAACGAGACUACAACAUUGAAGCCCUAUACCACAAAUAGUAUAGUAACCUCUCUCUCUCUCUCUCUCUCUCUCUCUCUCUAUUCAAUCAUUCAUAGAUGGAGCUGUUCUAGUUUUCUCGUGAUUUAGAAGUAUAAAUAUUAAUUUGUGUGCACACAGUAGGUGAUCAUCCCAUCACGGCGGGAUGCGUUCGCAUUCAACUUGUUGAAUGUAUNAGACUACAACAUUGAAGCCCUAUACCACAAAUAGUAUAGUAACCUCUCUCUCUCUCUCUCUCUCUCUCUCUCUCUCUCUAUAUAUAUAUAUAUCAAGAUAAAUUCAGAUGAUAAAACUAUUCAGUCAUUCAUAGAUGGAGCUGUUCUAGUUUUCCCGUG
rnacentral:lncRNA from 1 species